GACGAAACGUGCAAACGUUAUUCGGAAUCACUGGGCAUAAAGGGCGCGUAGGCGGCUCCAAAAGUCAGGGGUGAAAUCCGGCAGCUUAACUGUCGCAGUGCCUUUGAUACUGUGGAGCUAGAGGGAGGUAGGGGUCUGUGGAACUUCCGGUGGAGCGGUGAAAUGCGUUGAUAUCGGAAGGAACGCCGGUGGCGAAAGCGGCUUUCUGGUCUGCUCUUGACGCUGAGGCGCGAAAGCUAGGGUAGCAAACGGG
rnacentral:rRNA from 1 species